UUAUAUUCUCCACAGGGGGGGAUGAGAACCCCCGACCGGGGUUCGACAACUGGCGCAGCCAGUUGGACAGACCGCGAGCCUGCGAGCGGGCUGCCCCCGCAGGGGCGAGCGAAGCGAGUCAAUCCCCCCCUCACCGCCA
rnacentral:sRNA from 1 species